GAUGAACGCUGGCGGCGUGCUUAACACAUGCAAGUCGAACGGGAAAUAUUUCAUUGAGACUUCGGUGGAUUUGAUCUAUUUCUAGUGGCGGACGGGUGAGUAACGCGUGGGUAACCUGCCUUAUACAGGGGGAUAACAGUCAGAAAUGGCUGCUAAUACCGCAUAAGCGCACAGAGCUGCAUGGCUCAGUGUGAAAAACUCCGGUGGUAUAAGAUGGACCCGCGUUGGAUUAGCUUGUUGGCGGGGUAACGGCCCACCAAGGCGACGAUCCAUAGCCGGCCUGAGAGGGUGAACGGCCACAUUGGGACUGAGACACGGCCCAGACUCCUACGGGAGGCAGCAGUGGGGAAUAUUGCACAAUGGGGGAAACCCUGAUGCAGCGACGCCGCGUGAAGGAAGAAGUAUCUCGGUAUGUAAACUUCUAUCAGCAGGGAAGAUAGUGACGGUACCUGACUAAGAAGCCCC
rnacentral:rRNA from 1 species